UACGUAGGGUGCGAGCGUUGUCCGGAAUUAUUGGGCGUAAAGAGCUUGUAGGCGGUUUGUCGCGUCUGCCGUGAAAAUCCGAGGCUCAACCUCGGACUCGCGGUGGGUACGGGCAGACUAGAGUGUGGUAGGGGAGACUGGAAUUCCUGGUGUAGCGGUGAAAUGCGCAGAUAUCAAGAGGAACACCUGAGGUGAAGACGGGUUGCUGGGCUGACACUGACGCUGAGGCGCGAAAGCCAGGGGAGCAAACGGG
rnacentral:rRNA from 1 species